UACGUAGGGCGCAAGCGUUGUCCGGAAUUAUUGGGCGAAAGGGCGCGUAGGCGGCAUGGCAAGUGGAAGGUGAAAUCCCUCGGCUUAACCGAGGAACUGCCCUCCAAACUGCUUUGCUUGAGGCCGGGAGAGGUGAGUGGAAUUCCUGGUGUAGCGGUGAAAUGCGCAGAUAUCAGGAGGAACACCAAUUGCGAAGGCAGCUCGCUGGACGUUACUGACGCUGAGACGCGAAGCGUGGAGCAACAGG
rnacentral:rRNA from 1 species